GAUGAACGCUAGCUACAGGCUUAACACAUGCAAGUCGAGGGGUAACGAGAGGAAAGCUUGCUUUCCUUGUCGACGACCGGCGCACGGGUGAGUAACGCGUAUCCAACCUGCCCCCAACUAGGGAAUAACCUUGCGAAAGUAAGACUAAUACCCUAUAAUUUCCUCAGAUGUCAUCUGACGAGGAAUAAAGAUUUAUCGGUUGUGGAUGGGGAUGCGUCGGAUUAGCUUGUUGGCGGGGUAACGGCCCACCAAGGCAACGAUCAGUAGGGGUUUAGGGAGGAAGGGCCCCGACAUUGGAACUGGGACGCGGGCAAAAGUCAUGCGGGAGGCAGCAAUGAGGAAUAUUGGGCAAUGUGCGGAAGCCUGAACCAGCCAAGUAGCGUGCAGGAUGACGGCCCUAUGGGUUGUAAACUGCUUUUAUACAGGAAUAAAGUUAGCCACGUGUGGUUAUUUGCAGGUACUGUAUGAAUAAGGACCGGCUAAUUCCGUGCCAGCCGCCGCGGUAA
rnacentral:rRNA from 1 species